rnacentral:rRNA from 1 species
CCUACGGGGAGCAGCAGGAGGGAAUAUUGCUCAAUGGGGGAAACCCUGAAGCAGCAACGCCGCGUGGAGGAUGAAGGUGUUCGGAUUGUAAACUCCUGUUGUUAGAGAAGAGAAUGACGGUAUCUAACGAAUAAGCACCGGCGAACUCCGGGCCAGCAGCCGCGGUAAUACGGAGGGUGCAAGCGUGACUCGGAAUCACUGGGCGUAAAGAGCGCGUAGGCGGGAUCGCAAGUCAGAUGUGAAAUCCUAUGGCUGAACCAUAGAACUGCAUUUGAAACUGUUAUUCUAGAGUAUGGGCGAGGUCGGUGGACUUCUUGGUGUCGUGGUCACAUCCGUCGAUUUC